rnacentral:rRNA from 1 species
ACAUGCAGUCGAGGGGCAGCGGGAGGAGUGCUUGCACUUCUUGCCGGCGACCGGCGCACGGGUGAGUAACACGUAUGCAACCUGCCUCCGUCAGGGGGACAACCCGGCGAAAGCCGGGCUAAUCCCGCGUAUAUUCCGUGAGGGCAUCCUUACGGAAGGAAAGGCUUCGGCCGGACGGGGAUGGGCAUGCGGCGCAUUAGGUAGUCGGGGGUGUAACGGACCACCGAGCCGACGAUGCGUAGGGGUUCUGAGAGGAAGGUCCCCCACACUGGUACUGAGACACGGACCAGACUCCUACGGGAGGCAGCAGUGAGGAAUAUUGGUCAAUGGUCGGAAGACUGAACCAGCCAAGCCGCGUGAAGGAAGAAGGUGCUCGGCAUCGUAAACUUCUUUUGUCAGGGAACAAAGGGCGGUACGUGUACCGCUGUGAGUGUACCUGAAGAAAAAGCAUCGGCUAACUCCGUGCCAGCAGCCGCGGUAAUACGGAGGAUGCGAGCGUUAUCCGGAUUUAUUGGGUUUAAAGGGUGCGCAGGCGGCGCGGUAAGUCAGCGGUAAAAGCCCGGGGCUCAACCCCGGCGAGCCGUUGAAACUGCCGUGCUAGAGUAAGGUCGAGGUAUGCGGAAUGCGCGGUGUAGCGGUGAAAUGCAUAGAUAUCGCGCAGAACUCCGAUUGCGAAGGCAGCAUACCGGUCCUUUACUGACGCUCAGGCACGAAAGCGUGGGGAUCAAACAGGCUUAGAUACCCUGGUAGUCCACGCAGUAAACGAUGAAUACUGGGUGUUCGGAAUGUAGAUUCUGAGUGCCGAAGCGAAAGCGUUAAGUAUUCCACCUGGGGAGUACGCCGGCAACGGUGAAACUCAAAGGAAUUGACGGGGGGCCCGC